GGGAUAGAAAUGCCUGGAAAAUUUUCGUAGAUCACCUAAAGGGUAACUAUCCAUCACCGUUUACCCCACAGAGCAACACACUACCGCUCCUGAGACACUGGUGAUGAU